AUUGAACGCUGGCGGCAUGCUUUACACAUGCAAGUCGAACGGCAGCGCGGGCUUCGGCCUGGCUGCGAGUGUCGAACGCGUGUGUGUUACAUCUGAACAUGCUCCGUUGUAGGGGAUAGCACCUCCAAAACCGGAUUACUACUACCUACUACCUGCGGGUGAAACCGGGUGAUCUUCGGACCUCUCCCUAUGUGAGGGGCCGAUGGGCGAUUAGCCAGUUGGUGGGGUGAAGGGCUACCAAGGCGACGAUCUGUGGCUGGUCUGAGAGGACGACAGGCCACACGGGGACGGAGACAGGGACAAGACUCCUACGGGAGGCAGCAGUGGGGAACUUUGGACAAUGGGCGAAAGCCUGAUCCAGCAAUGCCACGUGUGUGAUGAAGGCCUUCGGGUUGUAAAGAAGUUUUGGCGGGAACGAAAAGGAUUGUGCCAAUACGACGGUUCGAUGACGGUAACCGCAGAAUAAGCACCGGCUAACUACGUG
rnacentral:rRNA from 1 species